UUCGGACAAAAAAAAAAGGAAUUUUGGGCCCAAGGCUCAUUCCAACAUAAUUGCCACUACUAUAUAAAAUGCCAGCCUUAGCCCUUGAUGUUCCCAAAGGCAAGAUGCCCAAUGCCAUUCUUAAUUUCUCAUAACGCCGGUGCAGAACAUGAAGUAAAAGAGGCAUUCAUCUGUUUGCAUAUAUACCCCAGAUGACUGGAAGUUGACCAUCAAUGUAAGAGCAACUUCUUUUAUACAUUACCAAUCAUGGUUAAACCUAUUGGAACACUUUGCAAAUGCUUAUUUUACUGGAAACUCUCUAAACCUUAAUUUUGCAAUGGAUUAAGCACCACCUGAAUUCCAUGUCGUGGGCCAAUUGUGAGAUUCUGAACUGGUGAGUGAACAUAGGUGGGGGAAUGAGUGAUGGCGUAGCGCUGUAGAAUCAUUGACAGAGCUAUCUUAGCUUCAGUAAUUGCAAAGUUGAAGCCUAUACAAGUUCGAGGACCCAGGCCAAAGGGUAAAUAUGCAGCCUUAUUGUUGUUUGUAGCUUUAGCAAGUCCUUCUGAGAAUCUUUCUGGUUUAAAAAGAUGAACAUCUUCACCCCAAGUAAGAGGAUCAUGGUGGACUAAAAGAGUUGAGAUUUGCAGGUUUACAUCAGCAGGCAGAGUGAGCUUCCCCAACCGAACUUUUCUGUCUACUUUUCUUACAAAUCCAGUCACAGGAGGAUAUAAUCUUAGUGUUUCAUUGAUGAUCAUUCCCAUUAUCUUCAGCUUUGCAAUUCCAUCUGCAUUUGGAGUUUGGUGACCCAAAAUCUUGAAAACCUCAUUCCUUGCUUCCUCUUGCCAUUCUGAAUGGAUUGCUAGAAGUAGGACGGCCCAUGAGAGCAAUACAUUAGUGGUUUCUUGUCCAGCGACAUAUAGUGUCUUGCAUUCAUCAAUCACAUCUUUUAAUGAAAUCCUCUUGGAUUGAUCAUCAUCAUGAUAAGCCUUUAGUAGAAUUCCCAGAAAAUCAUCUCCAUAGUUCUCUACAUCUCCAGCCAUCACUUCAUCUUCUCUCUUUUUAAUUAUUUGUAAAAUGGAGUUUUCUAUUUGUUUCUCAAGCUUCUCUGCCUCAAUUUCAUCUCCAGUUUUCCAAAUCUCACUGAUACCAGGUAGCUUAAUCUUGAAAGCAUUUCUGCCUACUAACAUGGUUAACUUUGUUAACAUGUCAAAAAUCUUCUUUCCUUCUUCAUAACUACUUCCAAAAGCUGCCCUAGAAAUUGCAUCAGAUGUCAGUAAUUUAAACUCUUCAACCACCUCAAUCUCUUUGCCUUGAUGAUUUUUCCACCUUUCCAGCACCAUCUGAGCGCUAGCAAUCAUUGCUGGAAUCAUAUUCUUUAAGGUCUCUGCGUUGAAAGCAUAGUUAGCCAAUUUCCUCAUCUUAGACCAUUUUUCACCUCCAGAUGCAGCGACCCCAUCUCCUAUUAGCUUUCUAAUGAAAGCAUGCACCUCUGCUUUUGGAUAGAUCUUAUCUCUAUUAUUUAGAAUCUCUCUUAUCAGCUCUGGCUCUGAAAUAAGCAACAUAGGUCGAGUACCCAACCAAUACAGAAAACUUGUCCCUAUCAAGGGACACAGCAAAAACAAGAAAAACCCUGUAAAUUUCAUAAUGGAACUGAGAUUAAAACUAAAUAAAUGAAAAAAAGAAAGGUUAGCAGCUCAUUACCAUACAUCUUGGUCCACGAGUGAAUAUGAGGUUGGAUUCUGGAAUACGUGUCGUGCGAGAGAUCCUUCAUGGGUCUACUCAUAGAUAAAUUUCUCAUUUUGGUAAUUUCUUUGGCGUUUCCAUAAAUGAAUCUGUAGGAAGGGCCUCUGAUUCCCUGUGAAGUCAUAAGAUGUUGAAUGCGCGUGGGUGUCCACCAAACUCUGUGAAGGAACUUGAAGAGAUUUGAGAGGAGGUAGAGACACAGAGAGCUUGAAAGAAGGAUUAAAAAAAUUGCUAAAGCAGCCAUUGUU
rnacentral:misc_RNA from 1 species